UACGUAGGGAGCAAGCGUUGUCCGGAAUCAUUGGGCGUAAAGCGCGCGUAGGUGGCCACAUAAGUCCGUUGUGAAAGUCAAAGGCUCAACCUUUGAAAGCCGAUGGAUACUGUGUGGCUAGAGUACGGAAGAGGCGAGUGGAAUUCCUGGUGUAGCGGUGGAAUGCGCAGAUAUCAGGAGGAACACCAAUGGCGAAGGCAGCUCGCUGGGACGUGACUGACGCUGAGACGCGAAAGCGUGGGGAGCAAACAGG
rnacentral:rRNA from 1 species